UACGUAGGGUGCGAGCGUUGUCCGGAAUUAUUGGGCGUAAAGAGCUCGUAGGCGGUUUGUCGCGUCGGCUGUGAAAACCUACAGCUUAACUGCGGGCUUGCAGUCGAUACGGGCAGACUUGAGUUCGGUAGGGGAGACUGGAAUUCCUGGUGUAGCGGUGAAAUGCGCAGAUAUCAGGAGGAACACCGGUGGCGAAGGCGGGUCUCUGGGCCGAUACUGACGCUGAGGAGCGAAAGCGUGGGGAGCGAACAGG
rnacentral:rRNA from 1 species